AUUCAAUCUGUCAUUUCUAUUUCAACCGGCUCGGGGGUCGGACGUUCGUUGAUGGUCUUAUUUAUUUCCUCGAAAGUUUUAAAUGAUAUCACCAAGUUAAUAGAUUCAUAGAAAAAAAUAAUCUGCAUUCAUCUUUUGAGAGUGUAAAUUAAAUAUAAAGAAAAUGACGUAAGUGUACCCCCAAAAGAAAUCAAUAUGUAUUUGUAUAAUCUUACCUUACAACGUGCCACAGGCAUAACCCAUGCUAUCCAUGGAAGUUUUUCCGGGACAAAGGUCCAAGAAAUUAUCGUUUCACGUGGGAAAAGUUUGGAAUUACUACGUCCAGAUUCAACCACCGGAAAAGUUCACACGCUCUUGACCACUGAGGUCUUUGGAUGUAUUCGGGCUUUAAUGUCUUUCCGUUUAACAGGCGGAACUAAAGAUUACAUUGUAGUUGGAUCAGAUUCGGGACGUAUUGUCAUUCUAGAAUAUAAUCCUACUAAGAAUUUCCUUGAGAAGGUCCAUCAAGAGACAUUUGGCAAGUCAGGAUGUCGUCGCAUCGUCCCAGGUCAAUAUUUUUCAAUUGAUCCCAGGGGUCGCGCUAUUAUGAUUGGUGCUGUUGAGAAACAAAAACUUGCUUACAUUCUCAAUCGAGAUGCUGAAGCACGAUUGACUAUUUCAUCACCACUGGAAGCCCACAAGUCCAAUACAUUGACUUAUCAUAUGGUUGGCGUGGAUACUGGAUUUGAAAAUCCAAUGUUUGCUUGUUUGGAAAUUGAUUACGAGGAAGCCGACAAUGAUCCAAGUGGUGAAGCUGCUCAAAAAACUCAGCAGACACUUACUUUUUACGAAUUAGAUUUAGGAUUGAAUCAUGUGGUUCGAAAGCGUUCUGAACCCCUCGAAGAACACGCCAAUUUCUUGAUCUCGGUUCCUGGGGGAAGUGAUGGACCAUCCGGAGUAUUGAUUUGCUCUGAAAACUACUUGACAUAUAAAAUCUAUGGCGAUAUGCACGAUAUCCGUUGUCCAAUUCCUCGUCGGAGAAACGAUUUGGAUGAUCCCGAACGUGGAAUGAUUUUCAUUUGUUCGGCAACCCACAGAACAAAAAGUAUGUACUUUUUCCUCGUACAAACCGAACAAGGGGACAUCUUUAAAGUUACACUCGAAACUGACGAUGAUGCUGUAUCCGAAAUUAAAUUAAAAUAUUUCGAUACUGUGCCACCGGCAACAUCGAUGUGUGUUCUCAAAACUGGGUUUUUGUUUGUUGCAUCUGAAUUUGGCAACCACUACUUGUAUCAAAUUGCUCAUUUGGGUGACGAUGAUGAUGAACCUGAAUUCAGUUCAGCUAUGCCACUUGAAGAAGGUGAAACUUUCUUCUUUGCACCACGCCCAUUGAAAAAUCUGGUUAUGGUCGAUGAAAUGCCAUCGUUUGCUCCAAUCAUCACAUCUCAAGUGGCUGAUUUGGCAAAUGAAGACACACCCCAAAUGUAUUUGCUUUGCGGCAGAGGGCCACGUUCUUCAAUUCGUGUACUUCGUCAUGGUCUAGAAGUUUCCGAGAUGGCUGUAUCUGAAUUGCCCGGCAACCCGAAUGCUGUAUGGACAGUAAAAAAACGCAUAGACGAUGAUUUUGAUGCUUAUAUCAUCGUCUCGUUCGUUAAUGCCACGCUGGUACUAAGUAUCGGCGAAACGGUUGAAGAAGUCACGGACAGUGGGUUCUUGGGUACAACACCGACACUUAGUUGCUCCUCAUUGGGAGAUGAUGCUUUGGUGCAAGUCUACCCUGAUGGUAUUCGUCACAUUCGUGCCGAUAAGCGUGUAAAUGAGUGGAAAGCGCCGGGAAAGAAGUCGAUUUCCAAGUGCGCUGUCAACCAGAGGCAGGUUGUGAUUGCAUUGUCCGGACGAGAGCUUGUCUAUUUUGAAAUGGAUGAGUCUGGUGAACUGAAUGAAUACACAGAGCGGUCAGAAAUGCCAGCUGAAAUUAUGUGUAUGGCGCUAGGUACGGUCCCGGAAGGAGAACAACGAUCAUGGUUCUUGGCUGUUGGCUUAGCCGACAAUACUGUCCGAAUUAUAUCACUCGAUCCAAACGAUUGUUUGUCACCUUGUUCAAUGCAGGCCUUGCCAUCACCAGCAGAGUCCUUGUGUUUGGUAGAAAUGGGCCAUGGUGAGUUGAAUGAAGAGGGUCAAGCUCAAGGCAAGGGAACGAUAUAUCUUAAUAUCGGAUUAAGUAACGGAGUACUUUUGCGAACUGUUCUUGAUCCAGUGUCAGGAGACUUAGCAGAUACCCGAACAAGAUAUUUGGGUUCACGACCGGUAAAGCUAUUUCGAAUUAAAAUGCAAGGAGCCGAAGCAGUAUUGGCAAUGUCGAGUCGAACAUGGCUUUCGUACUACUACCAAAACCGUUUCCAUUUAACACCUUUAUCGUAUGAGACGCUGGAGUAUGCGUCUGGCUUUUCGAGUGAACAAUGUAAUGAGGGUAUUGUAGCUAUUUCCACAAACACAUUGCGUAUCUUAGCAUUGGAAAAACUAGGCACAGUAUUUAAUCAAGUUUCGUAUCCAUUGGAGUAUACGCCACGUAUUUUCUGCACCCAUCAAGACACUGGCCGUAUGAUAAUCGCCGAAACUGAUCACAACGCAUAUACGGAAGAAAUGAAAAAUGCCCGCAAAAAUCAGAUGGCUGAAGAAAUGCGUACAGCUGCUGGAGAAGAUGAACAAGAAUUGGCAAAUGAAAUGGCUGAUGCUUUUAUUAACGAGGUAUUACCGGAAGAUACAUUCUCUUCACCAAAAGCUGGUUUAGGUUUGUGGGCCUCUCAAAUACGUGUUGUAGACCCAAUUCAUGGACAAACAACAUUCAAAAUACCUCUGACCCAAAAUGAUGCUAUAAUGUCUAUGGCUGUUAUGAAAUUCGCAGCUGCAGCUGAUGGUCGGUAUUAUCUUGUUGUAGGAGUUGCCAAAGAUCUUCAACUUAAUCCCAGAAUCUCCAAUGGAGGAGCUAUUGAUGUGUAUCGCAUAGAUCCAACCUGUUCACUGUUGGAAUUCUUACAUCGAACAGAAUGUGAUGAGAUUCCCGGAGCACUUUGUGGUUUUCAGGGACGCUUGUUGGCUGGAAUUGGUCGUAUCUUAAGAAUAUAUGACUUGGGAAAGAAGAAGCUCUUGAGAAAGUGUGAAAACAAACACAUUCCUUAUCAAAUUGUCAAUGUUCAAGCCAUGGGUCAUCGUAUUUAUGUAUCCGAUGUUCAAGAAUCUGUAUUCUUUGUACGUUACAAGCGAGCUGAAAAUCAGUUGAUCAUUUUUGCCGAUGAUACACAUCCUCGAUGGAUAACUGCCACUACACUAUUGGACUACGAUACUAUCGCGACUGCUGAUAAGUUUGGUAAUGUCUCCAUUUUACGGCUACCACAUUCUGUAACUGACGAUGUCGAUGAAGAUCCAACCGGAACAAAAUCUCUAUGGGAUCGAGGUCUUUUGAGUGGUGCAUCACAAAAAGCGGAAAAUAUUUCGACAUUCCAUAUUGGUGAAAUCAUCAUGUCACUUCAGAAAGCCACUCUAAUUCCUGGGGGAUCUGAAUCUCUUAUCUACUCUACUUUAAGUGGAACUGUUGGAGUGCUUGUACCGUUUACCAGUCGAGAAGAUUUUGACUUUUUCCAGCAUCUGGAAAUGCAUAUGAGAAAUGAGAAUCCGCCACUGUGUGGCAGAGAUCAUUUAAGCUAUAGAAGUGCAUAUUAUCCGGUAAAGAAUGUUCUUGAUGGAGAUUUAUGCGAACAGUAUUUGUCCAUUGAUCCAGCGAAACAAAAGAGCAUAGCUGGUGAUAUGUAUCGCACACCAAAUCAAAUUUGUAAAAAGUUAGAAGAUAUACGAACGCGUUAUGCAUUUUAAGGCAAAAUAUGCAAAAUUAGGCGUUGGUUUGAUUAAUAAAACAAGGAAUAGAACAAAAGGGAAUUAAAUUUUCAGUAGAUGUUGCACUUUUGACUGGACUAAUAUUUAGUUUUUCUAUAAGUUAAGGGCAUUAAAUUGGCAGUAGAUGUUGCAUUUAUGCUUUGUGUGGAAUCAUUUUAUUUAUUCAAGAGGAUUAUCGCAAUGGACUGUAUUGAAAAUAGUAAUAAGUUAUUUGUAACUAAUUUAAAAACAAAAAACAUUUAAAAAU